AGAAGAAUAGCCAGUUCUCUUAACCACUGAGCCAUCUCUCCAGCCCUUACCAUGUAUAGCUUUGAGCUAUCAUUUUCAGAUGCUUACAAAGGAGUUUGCUGAGGUUUUUGUUUGUUUUGUUUUGUUUGGAGACAAGAUCUCUCUACAUAGUCCUAGCUUACCUGGAACUCACUGGGUAGACCAGGCUGGCCUCGAACUCACCAGCUCAGGAGUUUUCAUUCUUAACAAGGAAAGAGAUGAGAUAGGAUGUUGAUACAGGAAACCAGCAAUAUACUUGGGAAAUGACAUUGAGUCACAUGUGGCCCCAAGUGAAGGGUAUGACUUUCCUACAUCAUAUGUGGAAAACAUUUUCACUUCCCUCUCAUCAUUACCAUCCUGUUAAGCAUCAUUUCCCAGUAUUCAAAUGAAGAAGGGACUCUCCUAAUUUCUGCAAAGAACUUCUUUCCAUGUUUCCCUUUUUAGUCUUUUCCCAAGUGAUUCUCAUCUCCAUGGCAACAUUGCUGGUAAAUAUUCAGUUUCCUAACACUAGACUCCUUCUCAGGCAUCACAGGCUUCAGAAGAGUGAUUUGUCAUUGAUUAGGAAAUUGCUAUGUGCUGGGUAAUACAUGAGGCAGUUUAUAGUCAUUUUACCUUAACCCAUACACAGGGACAAGGUCAGAAGUGCAAAGAGGUGGGCAGCCCACCCAAAGACACACAGCAGAGCUAGGACAUGAUCUCAUGUACUUUUGGCCCAUUGGCCUAGUGCUAAGUAUGUUUGAGCUGAGGCUUAUGGGAAGGGCUGAAGAGCAUAGGCCAGCUUGAGGUUGAAGCAAGAGGAUUUGGAGAGAGCAACCCCACCCCACCCCCAUAGCUGUCCACAGCACCCCCAUUCCUAUUAGCUGUAUGCAGCCCACACCCUCCUCCUUAAGCAAACACACUCCUGGCCUCUGACAGCAGAGGACAGCAGGUCAGUCUCUCUGCCUGCCUGUGUUAAGAGAAAAGCCUCCAUAGAAACAGUCAUAGAGAAUCAUUUAGGAGAACAAGAGGCUUAGCCAGAUGUGGCAGCAGAUGCCAAUAACCCCAGCACCCAAGAAGCUGAAGCAGGAGGAUCCCGAGUGUGUGACCAGACUGGGCUACACAGAGAGACCUUAUCUCAAAGAAUGAAGAGGAAAAUAAGUAUGUAAACAAAUAUUUUCUGUAUUUCACAAGACAGUCAUCAGUUGGCAUGGGGCAGGAUGAGAUUGGGGGAAGCAGUUCAGAGGAAAGAGCAAGCAUUCCACAGAUCAUUCCAGAAAGAAAUCCACUCAUCUUGAACACUGGAUUGAAAAGAAGCCAGUGGAGCCUGUCAGGGGAGGGACCCUGUUGUUUUCAGAGCCGCGUCUGUCACUGAGGAGGGUGAACAGCACAUCUGCUGGGUUCCGCACCCGUCCUAGGGAGAGACCUUAUGCUGCAGCUGUUGCCCCAGCUGACCCACAGGGUGAUGUCUGCAGUGGAGAGCACAGCAAGG